CCUUAAUAGCGGCUGCACCAUUAGGAUGUCCUGAUCCAACAUCGAGGUCGUAAACCCCCUCGUCGAUAGGGACUCUGGGAGAGGAUUGCGCUGUUAUCCCUAGGGUAACUCGGUCCGUUGAUCGGCGUUCGCCGGAUCAUUUUUGGUCAGAAAUUCUGGUACUUAGAGUUGUGGCUCUUGGUUGUGGGGGCAGUGCCCUCAGUCCACAUGGGGGCUUUGUUUUCCCCCGCGGUCGCCCCAACCAAAGACAUAGGGGCUAGGGGUCACUGUGUUUUUACCUGUUAAUUUAAGGUUACUUGACGUGAUCUGCCUGGUGUCUAAAGCUCCAUAGGGUCUUCUCGUCUUAUGUGUUUAUGUCCGCUUCUGCACGGG
rnacentral:rRNA from 1 species